rnacentral:lncRNA from 1 species
UUUUUUUUUUUUUUUUUUUUUAGUGCUAACAUAUCAUUACGUAUGUAUAUAUGUAACGACCUCAUGUGUUCAUUAGUUUGUUCGCCUAUUUGUUCUCCUGUUUGUUCUCCUGUUUGUUCGCCUGUUUGCUCGCCUGUUUGCUCGCCUGUUUGUUCUCCUAUUUGUUUAUUCGUUUAUUUGUCUGUUCGUUUGUUUAUUUUUACGAACUUGUUAAUGCACUUAUUUGGAUAAGAAAAAUGACUAUGAAAAAACAAAAUAAUUUCAAACAAUGUACGGAAGAUUUAGUUUUUUUAGAAAAACAAGAACUAAUCAAAGUGGAAAAAUCUGAAGACAUAUGUCCUAAUACUAAUGUAGCAGAACGUGAGAAUAAUGUCAUUUCAGAUAAAACAGAUAAAGCCACAAAUAAAUAUAUAGUAAACAACAAUCAAUGUAUUUUUCAAGAUAAUAAAAGUAAGGAUGGUGUGGACCACCAUGCUGAAUAUGACAAUCGUGACAGUCGCAACAAUCAUAGUAGUGAUAACAAUCAUAGUAGUGAUAAUAAACUAGGCUCAAUUAAUGAACGUUAUGAUGAAAAAACAAAUAAGAAGUUGAUUUGUAGAAUGAAAACCGACAACAGUAGCUACUUUAAAAGCACUACCAGUUGUAACAAAUCGUGUGAUACAUCAUGUUAUACUAAAGAACACAUUAUACAAAAUGGCAACUACUCUAAGGAUAGAAAUAUAUAUAAAAGUUAUAAUAACAUAAUACAGAAUGGUUUAAUUAGCUGCAAUGAUAGCACCUCUAAUAAUGUAAGUGAUACAUACAAAGUGUUGUUAAAUGUUUGUUUAGAUGAAAUAAAAAAAUGUUUAGGUGAUCAAGACAUUGGUGAAUCAGAUAUAAAAGGGUACCAAGGAUGUCAUUACAACACGACUAAGCACCACGAGUACCACUACAACAUGCAUGAACAAACAACUGACUGUUCAAAUGGAUAUUGCCAAAUACAGAAUAAUAAUGAUAAUAACUUUUUAUGUGAUAACAAUUUAUAUAAAAAAAAAAAAAAAAAAAAAUGCGUAAAUAAGAGAUACUCAUGUUUAAAUAAUGAUAAUAUAGAAAAUCAUAAAAAAAUAGUAAAAAAAAGUAGAUUAUUUGAUAAUGAUGAUGAUGAUGAUGAUGAUUUUAAUAUUAAUGAAUGUGAUAAAAUAAAUUAUGCGGAACAUAAAAUAAUGGCUAACCAUGUUGUUACUUCACACAGUGACGAAAAAUGCAUUACGAAUGGUUCAUGUUGUUGUAGAAUAAAUAAAACAGCAUGUUGUAAUAACAGUAGUAAAUACAACAACAGUACCUGCUAUAAGAACAGGAACAAUUAUAACAUCAGUGAUGCGAGUAAAACACUCGGAGAAGAAGAAAAAACAAAGGAAAUUGAAAAAAAGAUUUUGUUCGAUAUAAUAAACGAAAAAAACUUUAAUUUAGACAAAAAUCAAAUAGAAUCUGAUUUAUUUAAUAUUUUUAAAAAUAUGAUAAAUGUGUUGACUUAUAAAUAUCCCCAACUGAACAUAAAAGAUUUUUUUUUUAAUAGUCAAGAUAAAUUAAAAAAGGAGUAUGAAUUUAAUAGGGAACUAUCAAUAAAAAAAACAAGUAUUGAUUGUAAUGGUCAUCAUAAUAUAUAUAAUAAAAUAAAAAAUAAAUUAUAUUAUUCUACUAAUAAUAUAAAAAAAAGAAAUCAUACCAUAAAUUUAAAAUAUAAAAGUGAUAUAUUUAAUUAUUGUAUUAAAAAUAUAAAAAGAAAUAUAACUAUAUUAUCUCAUUUUAUACCUCGAAAAAUAGCAACUAAUUUUAUUACGAAAAUAAAAUUUGAUGUCACUUCAAAUAAUAUAAUAACAGCGGGAAAAGAUGGUUUUAUAAAAAUAUAUCAUCUGUUAACUGGAAAUUUGAUUUGCUCAAUAAAAGUACAUUUAAAUAGUAUUUCUGAUUUUGAUAUUCAUCAAUCGAAUAAAUAUAUUAUAUCUUGUGAUGAAAAAGGAAUAAUAAAAUUUACGCAUAUUGACAAAUAUAAACAUAAAUCUAUACUGACUUAUAAACGAUCAUUUACUAUGAAUAAAGUCCAUUUUUAUUAUGAUUAUCAUGUAUGUAACAGAUCUAGCUAUCAGCAUGGUAUAUCUUGUAGCCAUAUAAACUGUGGAAAUCGUAAUUGUUUGGAAUAUGGCAGUCGUAAUUGUUUGGAAUAUGGCAGUCGUAAUUGUUUGGAAUAUGGCAGUCGUAAUUGUUUGGAAUAUGACAGUCGUAAUUGUAUGGAAUGUGGCAGUCGUAACGAUGUGAAUGAUAUCUAUCGAAAGGGUAGCUAUCACCCACCUAACCCACCAUAUUACACGACGUACGCAUUUUGCUCAAAUAAUGGUUUUUUUUUUAUUAUAAAAUUCGAUGACAUAAGUAAUGACACUAAUUUAAUUGCAUCUAUAAAUACAUCAACACUAGGUGAACCAAAUUUAUUUCCAGUUUUACAGUUUUCUUAUGCAUUACACUAUAACGUGGCACCAUAUAUAUAUAACAACCUGGUUAUAUCAAAAAAUAGCAUAAAAGAAUUAAAGAAUAGUUACUUAUUUUUUAUACCUACAUCAAACGAGUUGGCUGACAAGUUUAAUGAACACUACGUUACAAAUAUAAAUUAUAAUUAUAAAAAAGGAAAAAGAAAAUUAAAGUAUAUUUUUUUGACAAAUAAAAUAAUGUAUGAUAAUGUAGGCUAUAGCGAAGAUAUGUAUAAUAUUACCCAGAAAGAUGUUAUUAUAACAAAAUAUGUAAAUAAAAUUGAUGGAGACAUGUGUGUUGGUGGUACAUGUAAGUGUAACGAUUGUGCUGCAAAUAAUGACGUUAUAGAAAUAUCUCACAAAAUAGAUAGAUCAAAGAAAAAAAGUGCUGAAGAAGAUAUGUAUUAUAUUCAAUUUUUAAAAUAUUUUGAAAUCAAUAUUUUACAGAAUUUAAAAAAUAGUGUUGGUUUAGUUUUAUUUAAGACAUUUUCAGAUUUUGAAGAAGAUACAAUAUUAUUUGCUUUUUCGAACAACACAUCUGAUUUUGUGACUGUUAAUGCUAGUGGGUCUAUUUAUUUUUGGUUUUUCCAUAAGUAUCUACUUGAUGGUAGUGGUUCUAAAAGUAAGCCCACUAAUACGACCACUAGCACAACCAAUGGUAAAAUCGAAAUAUACUGUUUCUACACGACUUUAUACGUCAAGUUUGUUAUAGAAUCCAACGUUAUAAAUGAAUAUAACAAAGCCAAAAAUAACAAAAAUGAAAAUAAAUAUUCUUCAAAAAACACAACAAAAACAGAUGACGCAAAAAAGUUAUUUGUUAUAUCAUCAACAUCAUCCUCUUCUUAUUAUUUUUCAUCAAGUGAAUGUGAGGAGAAACCGAAAAAAUGUAAAGAUAAUAUAACAGAAGAAGAAAAAAAAAAGGGGUUAAACAACAAUCGAAAAAUUUUCAAUACCACUACAACUGUAGAUGAUUGUACUAAUACAGCCAGUAAAACGAACGUGAAUUAUAGUAAUAAUGUAUUAUCUAACAUAACUGAACAUAUUAACAAUCGAAAUGGCUUUACUACUAGAGAUAACAUUAAACAUAAUAAUACUAUAAAUACUCAUAAAGAAAUUAAUUUAAAUAAUUUUUAUAACUAUGAUAAAAUUUUUUGUGGGAGUAAAACCCAAGCAGAAAGACACGGGUCAUCAAAUGUCUAUUCUUGUUCGAAUAUUAUUACCAGUAACGGAUGUAACAACACUAAUUGUAACUAUAAAGGUAACACUGUCCAUAUUAUAAACUCAUUACUUAAUUCAAUAAUGAACGAAAAAGGUACUAUUAAAUAUCGAUCAAAAAAAUUGUACUACAGAAUAAGUAAAAUCGCUUUUACGACAUCAGACGAAUAUAUAAUAGUCGGUGAUGGAAUAACAAAUAAAUCUAAUUCAACAAAGGAAUUUAUAAGUGCAGUUACAACAAAAACGAAUUUGUCUAUAUUUUGUAUAAAAACAUGUAAAGAAAUUCAAAAUUUUGAAAUAAAAAAAUGCACAAGUUAUGUUAGUUUUAUUGAGCCUAAUCCAUAUUAUAAAGAUAUUGUUUUAUUUGGCUGUUUUAAAAAAUAUAUUUUUUUAAUAAAUAUAUCCAAAAAAAAAAUGGUGAAAAAAUAUUCAUAUGAUAAUGAGUUGAAAAAUUUAAGUGCUGAAUGGAAUAAAAAUGGUUCUACUUUUAUUGUUUCUCAUAAUUUUGGAUAUUUUUCUAUUUUUUCGAUGAAUAACAGUGCUUGUUAUAAAUUGACUUUAUCUGAACAGAUUACUUCUUUACAGCUUAAAAAUUUUAAUAAUUAUGUUAUAACAAAUGAAAAUAGUUUAAGUGAUGAGCAAACAGAGAUAUUACAAGAUGUUUAUAUGUUGAAUACUCAUGGAGAAAAUAAUCAGGUUACCAAUUAUCUUAUGCGAAAUAAUUACGUAGCAACUAAUAGAGUAAUAAACACUAGCUGUAUAAAUAAUACAUAUGUUCUUAUUGAUAAUAUACAUAAUGAUAGAGAUACGUCGAGUAAUAGAUACAAUGGUUAUAGUAACAAUGAAAAUGGUACAAACGAACUAAGUAGUAGGGUAGUGGUGCCGAAUAACUCGCGAGCGGGUACGCCUGAUAUUAGUCGCACUUGGCUAAGCCGGAUAAACAACACACGUCUGAGAAUACAUAGCACGAAUGGUAACAAUAACAAUGGUAACAAUAACAAUGGUAACAAUAACAGUGGUAGUAAUAACAGUGGUAGUAAUAACAGUGGUAGUAAUAACAGUGGUAGUAAUAACAGUAACAGUGGUAGUAAUAAUAACAAUAUUAGGAGUGGCAGGAAAUCAAAAAGAGUAAUAAAAGACUCAUCAGAGGAAGAAUCAGAAGUGGAAAAAACAAUUUAUACAUUAGACUCAGAUAGUAGCAAUGAAAAUAAUUUUAAAGAUGAAAAAAAUACUCAGAAAAACAUUAAGUCUUUAAAAAAAAAACGCAUUAAUCGUUGCAACAGUAGCUAUAGUAAAGCCAAUUGUGGUAAAUCUAGAUACAACAAAACCAGUAGUAACAGAUAUGAUGAUAGUAAAACAGAAAGUGAUGAUGUAAAAAUAGUUGAAAAUGGUCGAUUUAAAAAAAAAGAUAAACAAUACGUUAUAAAUUUAGAAAACAUAGAAACAAGUAACAAGGAAGUCAUAAAUGUAGAGGAUGUACACAGCCGAAAUAUAUUUAAUAAGUGCUUUAAAAAAAAUGAAAUAAUUAAUAUUGAUAAUAUAAUAACAAAUACUGUUACAGAUGGUGUUGUCAAUGAUGUUAAUGCAUGUAUUUCUGACUGUAAAAAUAAUUAUAAAGAAAAAGAUGUAUCGAGCGGAAAAAAAAAGAAAAAAACAAUCAAAAAGAAAAAAAAAAAGAAAAAAUUAAGUAUAAAUGAUGACACGAGUUCAACCAAGCGUGAUAGUAAUAAUGGCAAUAGUAUUAGUAGUAAUAGUAGUAGUAGUAGUAUUAGUAGUAGCAGUAGCAGUAGCAGUAGCAAUAGCAAUAGGAGUAGUAUUAACUGUAUCAAAAUAAGUGACAACGAUUUUGAUUCAUAUACUUGUAACUCGCUCAAUGGUUUAUUAAACGAUAAUAAUAAAAUUAUAACAAAAUAUAAUUUUGCAAAGAAUAAAAAAAUAAAUAAUUUAAAACAUUUUUUUAGUUCGAAAUGUAAAGAAGAAAACGGUGGAUCAGGUAAAAGUGACGAAUUAAAUAUAAAAAAAAAAAAAAAAAAAAAAGAAAACAUAAACGAUAUAGUGUUAGAUAUAGAUGAAUAUAGUUCAAUUAGUCUUUUAAGUGAUAACACAUGUAACAGAAAUUACUCUGAUGAUUUGUUUUCAGAUGUUUCUAUGCAUAACUCAUGCUUUUUUUCAUCUGACAGUUCUUUUGUAAGUGUACAUACAGAAUGGUGUGAUGAUAAAAGUAAUAGUCGUUACUCACAAAGCUCAUAUGAAACUGAUAAUUAUAAUAACAAUGAGAAAUAUGCAUCAUAUCAUAAUGAAUUGUCAGUAUAUAACAGUAACCAUAAAAAAAGCAUUGUUCAUAAAUUGCGGUACGCAGUAAAACCAAACGACCAUACAAAAAAUGACUUACUCGAGAUGAAUCAUAGGAAGGGUAUAUACAACCAUGGUCAUAAUGAAAAUGAAGUAAUUAAAAAAGGAGAUAGUCAGGAUGAGAGUGAUUAUAAGCAUGACCAUAAGUGGGACAAUAAGCAUGACCAUAAGUGGGACAAUAAGCAUGACCAUAAGCAUGACCAUAAGCAUGACCAUAAGAAUGACCAUAAGAAUGAACAAAUAAAAAAUCGCAAUGCUCAUACAAAUUAUAACAACAUUUUAGAUACAUUUCAACAUAACUAUAUAUCACACAAUUGUAAAAAUAGAAACUCUAAUAGAGACAAAAAUAAGCAGCAAGUUUUGAAAGAACGUAAAAAGCGUAAAAAGCGUAAAGGACUUAAAAAAAUAGAAGGCAAAGAUAAUAUUAUACUAAACGAUUUUAAUAAUACCAACGUAUUAAUUGAUAAAAAUAUGUGUGCGUAUAAACAAAACUUACAACCUUUACUGCCAUUGUUUUCUAGUUUUAGUGUGCCCAACACAAAUUUUAAGCUACUCAACACGUACUCACAUUACUUUAUGACAAGCAUAUAUUUUGCUUAUUUAAAAAAUAUAAAAAAAAAAAUGAACACUAAUAAAUACAUAAACUUUGAAUUGUUAUUACUAUAUGACGUUGUGUAUAAAAUUGUUAUUAAUCAUUAUAAAAAAAACAAUGCUACUAUGAUUGACUACAAUAUGGACAUUUAUAAUAAUUAUGUAGCCAUAAAUAAUAAAAAAAUAUAUAUUAAGGAUAAGAAAACAGGUGGUGGCGGUGGUGGUGGUAAUUAUGAUGGAGGUGGUGAUUAUGAUGGAGGUGGUGAUUAUGAUGGAGGUGGUGAUUAUGAUGGAGGUGGUGAUUAUGAUGGAGGUGGUGGCCAUGAUAAUAAUAAAAGCAGUAUUACUAACUAUAAUUUACCUUUAAAAAAAACAAAAAUAAUGCAUGAUAGUAGUAAUAACAAACAAAAUAAUAUUAUUAAUAAUUAUACAUUAAUAAAAAAUGAGGAAAGGCAUCCUUUAAAAAAUCAAACAAAUGAACAGUGCAUGCUUGAUAAUAGCCAUACUAAAAAUAAAAAUAUGAUAAAAAAUAUGACUAAUAAUAAUAAUAAUAAUGAUAAUAACAUCAAGGUCAGUGAAAAAGAUAAACGUUUUCUAAAAAAACUAAAUAGAUAUAUUGAAUAUUUUAAAUACGGAAACACUGGCACUGGUCAUAAUAGUACGAACAAAAAGGACAAAAUGAGAAAGUAUUUUUUAAAUGUGAUGAAAGUAAAUAACAUAUAUAAACAUUAUAUAUUUACAAAGGAUUAUAAUAGGUUGAAUGAAAUAAUGACAAAUAGUUAUAAUACUCUUGGUACUGGUAAUGAUUAUUAUUGUUAUAGCAGCAGUGGAAACAGCACGACAUGUCAUAGCAGAAAUGGAAACAUUAUCAAAAACAAUGUGCAUAAUAGCUACUAUGAUAACUAUAAAAAAAACUUAGAUAAAAUAAAUACAUGCGUUUUAUUACGCUUUGCUCAGAAGCUACCAUGUAAAAACGAAGAAGAU